rnacentral:rRNA from 1 species
GUGCUAGGACGAACGCUGGCGGCGUGCCUAAUACAUGCAAGUCGAACGGCUUUUCUAUGGAAGCUUGCUUCCACUGAGAAGAUAGUGGCGAACGGGUGAGUAACACGUGGGUAACCUGCCCAUAAGAGGGGGAUAACAUCCGGAAACGGGUGCUAAUACCGCAUAGUUUUCUUGAUCGCAUGAUUGAGAAAGGAAAGACGGCCUUUGUGCUGUCGCUUAUGGAUGGACCCGCGGCGUAUUAGUUAGUUGGUGAGGUAACGGCUCACCAAGACGAUGAUACGUAGCCGACCUGAGAGGGUGAUCGGCCACAUUGGGACUGAGACACGGCCCAAACUCCUACGGGAGGCAGCAGUAGGGAAUCUUCCGCAAUGGACGAAAGUCUGACGGAGCAACGCCGCGUGAGUGAAGAAAAGGUUUUCGGAUCGUAAAACUCUGUUGUCAGAGAAGAACAAGUUGGAGAGUAACUGCUCCAGCCUUGACGGUAUCUGACCAGAAAGCCACGGCUAACUACGUGCCAGCCGCCGC